rnacentral:rRNA from 1 species
AGAGUUUGAUCAUGGCUCAGGACGAACGCUGGCGGAAUGCUUAAUACAUGCAAGUCGAACGAUGAGGCGCUUUCGGGCGUACAUCAGUGGCGGACGGGUGAGUAACGCGUUGGUAAUCUACCUUACACUGGGGGAUAACAUCUGGAAACGGGUGCUAAUACCGCAUAUGUGCAAAGCUGGGAUGUUUUGUACGAAAGAUUCAUUGGUGUGAGAUGAGCCUGCGUAUGAUUAGCUAGAUGGUGGGGUAAUGGCUUACCAUGGCGAUGAUCAUUAGUUGGUCUGAGAGGAUGGCCAGCCACAGUGGGACUGAGACACGGCCCACACUCCUACGGGAGGCAGCAGUAGGGUAUAUUGCGCAAUGGAGGAAACUCUGACGCAGCAAUUCCGCGUGAAGGAUGAAGCCUUUAGGGGUGUAAACUUCUGUCAAUAGGGAAGAACUAGACGGUACCUAUAGAGGAAGCACCGGCUAACUACGUGCCAGCAGCCGCGGUAAUACGUAGGGUGCGAGCGUUGUCCGGAAUUAUUGGGCGUAAAGCGUCCGCAGGCGGUUAAGUAAGUCUAAUGUAAAAGGCAUCUGCUCAACAGAUGUUGUGUAUUGGAAACUAUUUAACUAGAGUAUGGUAGAGGUUGCUGGAAUUCCAGGAGUAGCGGUGAAAUGCGUAGAUAUCUGGAGGAACACCGGUGGCGAAAGCGGGCAACUGGACCAUAACUGACGCUAAUGGACGAAAGCCAGGGUAGCGAAAGGGAUUAGAUACCCCUGUAGUCCUGGCCGUAAACGAUGAACACUAGGUGUUGGGUGAAUCGACCCAUUCAGUGCCGCAGCUAACGCGCUAAGUGUUCCGCCUGGGGAGUACGGCCGCAAGGUUGAAACUCAAAGGAAUUGACGGGGACUCGCACAAGCGGUGGAACAUGUGGUUUAAUUCGAUGCAACGCGAAGAACCUUACCUGGCUUGACAUCUACUGAAUCAUGGCGAAAGUUGUGAGUGCCUUUCGGGGAGCAGUAAGACAGGUGGUGCACGGUUGUCGUCAGCUCGUGUCGUGAGAUGUUGGGUUAAGUCCCGCAACGAGCGCAACCCACGUCGUAUGUUGUUACAGGCCAUCAGGUGCUGAACCCUCAUGCGAGACUGCCGGUGACAAGCCGGAGAAAGGUGUGGAUGACGUCAAAUCAUCAUGCCCCUUAUGUCCAGGGCUACACACGUGUUACAAUGGGACGGUACAGCAAGCAGCUUGCACGCGAGUGUUGGCAAAUCUAUAAAACCGCCCUCAGUUCGGAUCGUACUCCGCAACUCGAGUACGUGAAGUUGGAAUCGCUAGUAAACGCAGAUCAGCACGCUGCGUUGAAUACGUUCCCGGGUCUUGUACACACCGCCCGUCACACCACGAAAGAAGGUUAUGCCCGAAGUUGUUGAGCCAACCGUUUACGGAGGCAGGCACCUAAGGUAGAGCUUUUGAUUGGGGUGAAGUCGUAACAAGGUAACC